AUUAAUCGCUGCCGGGAGGCCUAACACAUGCAAGUCGACCGAGGGGCGGAAGGGUGAGUAAUGUCUGGGACACUGCCUGAUGGAGGGGGAUAACUACUGGAAACGGUAGCUAAUACCGCAUACCAUCAGAUUUGUCCACAUGGUAUUAGCUUGUUGGUGGGGUAACGGCUCACCAAGGCGACGAUCCCUAGCUGCUCUGAGAGGAUGACCAGCCACACUGGAACUGAGAAACGGUCCAGACUCCUACGGGAGGCAGCAGUGGGGAAUAUUGCACAAUGGGCGCAAGCCUGAUGCAGCCAUGCCGCGUGUAUGAAGUAGGCCUUCGGGUUGUAAAGUACUUUCAGCGGGGAGGCGUUACCCGCAGAAGAGGCACCGGCUAACUCCGUGCCAGCAGCCGCGGUAAUAC
rnacentral:rRNA from 1 species